CUGCUGCCUCCCGUAGGAGUUUGGGCCGUGUCUCAGUCCCAAUGUGGCCGUCCACCCUCUCAGGCCGGCUACUGAUCGCUGCCUUGGUGGGCCGUUACCCCGCCAACUAGCUAAUCAGACGCGGAUCCAUCGUAUACCACCGGAGUUUUUCACACUGCCCCGUGCGGAGCCGUGCGCUUAUGCGGUAUUAGCACCUAUUUCUAAGUGUUAUCCCCCGGUAUACGGCAGGUUAUCCACGCGUUACUCACCCGUCCGCCACUAA
rnacentral:rRNA from 1 species